rnacentral:rRNA from 1 species
CUUUCAACAACGGAUCUCUUGGUUCUGGCAUCGAUGAAGAACGCAGCGAAAUGCGAUAAGUAAUGUGAAUUGCAGAAU